GAAGGGCUGCCUACAAGCCUCACAGUCCCAUCCCUGUUGGGACAAUUCCAAAUGAAGGCCUUAAAUGAUGCUCAGCUAAGCUGGUUCUUGUGUGGCCUCUGUACCUUCAAAAGCUGCCGAGUCCUAUGAUUACACGUGAUGGGACUUGUACACUUGAAGUGAAACACAGUUUUAAAACUUGCUUUGUUUAGAAUUCCCACCUCAUUUUUCCAUGGACAAAAGUAUUCUUUAUGUCCUAGUGCACUUACAAUUUGGUAUUACCUGGGAGUGAAAAGAAAUAUUACAGCCAUGCCCAA
ensembl:lncRNA novel transcript